AGAUGGGGAAGCUCCGUUUAAAAGGCCUGAUUUUCCAGGCCACGAUCGAAAGGGAAUCCGGUUAAUAUUCCGGAACCUGGAUAUGGAUUCUUCACGGUAACGUAACUGAAUGUGGAGACGUCGGCGUGAGUCCUGGGAGGAGUUAUCUUUUCUUCUUAACAGCUUAUCACCCCGGAAUUGGUUUAUCCGGAGAUGGGGUGUUAUGGCUGGAAGAGCCCAUCACCUUUGCUGGGUCCGGUGCGCUUACAACGGCCCUUGAAAAUCCACAGGAAGGAAUAGUUUUCAUGCCAGGUCGUACUGAUAACCGCAGCAGGUCUCCAAGGUUAACAGCCUCUAGUUGAUAGAAUUUGUAGAUAAGGGAAGUCGGCAAUAUAGAUCCGUAACUUCGGGAUAAGGAUUGGCUCUAAGCCUCGGGUGGUGAGGGCCUUUGUGAGACGCGGCGGGCGUGCUGGCGGACUGUCUGGUGGGGAUUGCUCUGCUAGACGGACUGCUAGUGUGCGCUGUCGUAGACGGCAUUGGUAGGUCUUUUCGACCGUCGCUUGC
rnacentral:rRNA from 1 species